rnacentral:miRNA from 1 species
GCGCUCCGGAGGCUUCAGGUUCCUUUUGCUGAAGCCAGGAGAGUCUUGCUCUCCUGGCUUCAGCAAAAGGAACCCGAAGCCUGAGGAGCGC